rnacentral:rRNA from 1 species
CAGUGGGGAAUAUUGCACAAUGGGGGGAAACCCUGAUGCAGCCAUGCCGCGUGUGUGAAGAAGGCCUUCGGGUUGUAAAGCACUUUCAGUAGGGAGGAAGGUAGUGUAGUUAAACACCUGCAUUAUUUGACGUUACCUACAGAAGAAGCACCGGCUAACUCCGUGCCAGCAGCCGCGGGUAAUACGGAGGGGUGCGAGCGUUAAUCGGAAAUUACUGGGCGUAAAGCGCAUGCAGGCGGCCUGUUAAGUCAGAUGUGAAAGCCCGGGGCUUAACCUCGGAAUUGCAUUUGAAACUGGCAGGCUAGAGUCUUGUAGAGGGGGGUAGGAAUUUCAGGUGUAGCGGUGAAAUGCGUAGAGAUCUGAAGGAAUACCAGUGGCGAAGGCGGUCCCCUGGACAAAGACUGACGCUCAGAUGCGAAAGCGUGGGGAGCAAACAGGAUUAGAUACCCCUGGUAG